UUACUGGUGGCUCAGACGGUAAAGAAUCUGCCUGCAAUGCAGGAGACCCAGGUUCAAUCCCUGGUUAAGGAA
rnacentral:tRNA from 1 species